rnacentral:tRNA from 1 species
GCAGAGGUACGCUAAUCGGUCAGACGAACAGGCUGUUGACCUGUGAUGUGUCGGUUCGAGUCCGACCCUCUGCUCCA